AUACGUAGGUGGCAAGCGUUAUCCGGAAUUAUUGGGCGUAAAGAGUGAGCAGGCGGUUAAUUAAGUCUGAGGUUAAAGCGUGGGGCUCAACCCCAUAAAACCUUGGAAACUGAUUUACUAGAGUACGGGAGAAGUGAAGGGAAAUCCAUGUGUAGCGGUGAAAUGCGUAGAUAUAUGGAAGAACACCAGUGGCGAAGGCGCUUCACUAGCCCGAAACUGACGCUCAGUCACGAAAGCGUGGGUAGCAAAUAGGAUUAGAUACCCUAGUAGUCCACGCUGUAAACGAUGACAACUAAAUAUUGCCGCGAGGCAGUGUUGAAGCUAACGCAUUAAGUUGUCCGCCUGGGGAGUACGGUCGCAAGACUGAAACUUAAAGGAAUUGACGGGG
rnacentral:rRNA from 1 species